GAUGAACGCUGGCGGCGUGCCUAAUACAUGCAAGUCGAGCGAACGGACGAGAAGCUUGCUUCUCUGAUGUUAGCGGCGGACGGGUGAGUAACACGUGGAUAACCUACCUAUAAGACUGGGAUAACUUCGGGAAACCGGAGCUAAUACCGGAUAAUAUUUUGAACCGCAUGGUUCAAAAGUGAAAGACGGUCUUGCUGUCACUUAUAGAUGGAUCCGCGCUGCAUUAGCUAGUUGGUAAGGUAACGGCUUACCAAGGCAACGAUGCAUAGCCGACCUGAGAGGGUGAUCGGCCACACUGGAACUGAGACACGGUCCAGACUCCUACGGGAGGCAGCAGUAGGGAAUCUUCCGCAAUGGGCGGAAGCCUGACGGAGCAACGCCGCGUGAGUGAUGAAGGUCUUCGGAUCGUAAAACUCUGUUAUUAGGGAAGAACAAAUGUGUAAGUAACUGUGCACAUCUUGACGGUACCUAAUCAGAAAGCCACGGCUAACUACGUG
rnacentral:rRNA from 1 species